CCCACACACGCAUGCGCUCACCUCCCCGGAGUUCUGAUCUCACACACCUGCAGCCAAUCACCUUGUCCACUCACCACGGCUUAUUAAGAGACUUUGGAUACAGAGACACUUUGUGACGUAAACGCUCAGCAGACUAGUUUCUCUGUCGUUCUCCAAGCGUUACCUGCUGUGUUUAUUCCAUAAGUGACUUUGACCUUUGCUUACGUCCCCGACCACGAUUUCUGUCUUGCCCCGUUUGUUUUGUUUGCAUGAUCGCCUGACCCUCGCUUGCUUCUUGACUACGGACUGUGUUCACCCCUCUGGAUUAUUCUGCCUGAACCUGCCGCCCGCUUCUGCUUCUGUAUUCCCCACGGAGACUAUUUGAGUUCCCUGGCUCGGUUUGGCUCUGCAUGCUGAGUCUCCUCUCUCUCCUCUGUGCAAAAUCACUUCAUGCGACUGUUGGCAGGUAUAUUUAUUUCAUUAUUUAUUUUUCUCUCACUUGUAGUUUUUUAGUUCUAUAACUGUGUGUGUGUGUGUGUGUGUGUGUGUGUGCGCGCGCGCGUGCUCCGUGCAGCACUUGUUCUUGCUCCCCAGGUGGAAAGUUCCCCUUGCAUUCUGGAUGUGGACAUGUUCCACUUAGUGGUGAGCUGACAAGCUUGUUAAAUGAUACUUUAGGCACUAUUAAAUGUAUAUUCGCAUCAGAUUAAAGUAUCAUUGUUGUCCAGAAUCUAAACCUGUCUAUCUAACAGGUAAUUGUCUGUGGUUUCUUUGGCUGUAGUCUCUGCAUCAUGUUUUGUGUUUGUAUGUCUGGUGAGUCUGGUGCUGUCCUAUUCAGCAUUGUACUGCUUAGACUCCUCAGGGCUGAGUGUGGAUACUGCACACCUGCAUCUCUUCCACUUGGUCAUUGUGGCUCACCUGGUCCAGACCCUCCUCACCUCUGUGCCAGGCAGGCAUCCUGCCCUUCCUCAGAGGAGCCGCACUGUUCUUGCACCAUCUCAAUGGAGUUCCCAUUCCACCUGAGCUCAACGGUAAGUGCUUCAUUUGCCCCCACCCUUCCCUCCCCAUCACAAACUCACUUAGCUACAUUUGACCCAUGGGUUCCACCACAUGUUAUCUGAUUGAAAGUUGACCUGACCGUACACCUCUACA